rnacentral:lncRNA from 1 species
GGUCACUGCACACAUUUUUUAAACUAGAUACCCCAAUGAUGAUUGUGGCCAAGUAUUGUUAAACUUGGCCCAGUAGUUUCGUAAAAGAUUACAAAAACUUACAAAAAAUUGGUAAAGAAUGACUAUAAAGGGCAAUAACUCCUUAAGGGGUCAACUGACCAUUUUGGUCAUGUUGACUUAUUUGUAGAUCUUACUUUGCUGAUCAUUAAUGCUGUUUACAGUUUAUCUCUAUCUAUUAUAACAUUCAAGAUAUUAACCAAAAACGGCAAAAUUCCCUUAAAAUUGCCAAUUCAGGGACAGCAACCCAACAACCGAUUGUCCAAUUUGUCUGAAAAUUUCAGGGUAGCUAGAUCUUGACUUGGUUAACAAUUUAACCCAUGUCAGAUUUGCUCUAAAUGCUUCGGUUUCAGAGUUAUAAGCCAAAAUCUACAUUUUACCCCUAUGUUAUAUUUUUAGCCAUGGCAGCCAUCUUGGUUGGUUGGCCAGGUCACUGCACACAUUUUUAAAACUAGAUACCCUAAUGAUGAUUGUGGCCAAGUAUUGUUAAAUUUGGCCCAGUAGUUUCAGAGGAGAAGACUUUUGUAAAAGUUAAUUACGACGGACAACGGACGCCAAGUGAUGAGAAAAGCUCACUUGGCCUUUUAGGCCAGGUGAGCUAAAAA